AUCCAGUUGACGAGUCCUAAUUAGGACGAAAUGCCCAUCCUGGAU
rnacentral:hammerhead_ribozyme from 1 species